AGUCGGGUGUGAAAGCCCCGGGCUCAACCUGGGAAUUGCAUUCGAGACUGCCUGGCUAGGGUGCGGAAGAGGGAAGCGGAAUUUCCGGUGUAGCGGUGAAAUGCGUAGAUAUCGGAAGGAACACCAGUGGCGAAAGCGGCUUCCUGGUCCGACACCGACGUUCAAGCACGAAAGCGUGGGGAGCAAACAGGAUUAGAUACCCUGGUAGUCCACGCCAUAAACGAUGAGAACUAGACGUUGGAAGGG
rnacentral:rRNA from 1 species